GUUGAUGAAGCUUCUCUGGCAUCCAGGAGGAUAAAAAGGACAGAGCAAAGGAAUUCAACCUGGCUGACUUCAAGAGACUAAAGAAAAUUUAAGACUCAAGAGUCUCCACAUGAUUGAGAAGUCAGAGAGGUGUAUGGGGAAGUCCUCUUGCCUGGAAGCCAGAUAACCUGGAUUCACUUCCAAGUUUACCCCUGACUUCCUUGUGAAGACAUGGCGAGAAGUUGGUCAUCUACCAGCCAGGAAGAGAGCCCUCACCAAGAACCCAAGCAUGCUGGUACCCUAAUCUCAGCCUUCCAGCCUCCAGAACUAUUUUUUUCCACCACUUUGGCAGGAGUGAGAUAUCCGGCAAAGAGGGGGCCCAGCAAGGGAAGUGGGCUCCUUGUGCCUGAUAGCACUCCCCAUGGGGAAGGUCAAGGAGACCUUCAUUUCACUUCAUUUCAGCCAUCUGCAGUCUACAUCCAACCUCACAUUUCCUGUCUCCGAAGAGUCUCACCAGAUCCUAAGUUGGCCAGGCCUCGAGAAAACUGAGAAACCACACUGUCUUGGU
rnacentral:lncRNA from 1 species